rnacentral:lncRNA from 1 species
GUUGAUGAAAGGCGGAAGUUCGGUCACAAUUAAUAUUUAUCGCUUCACGUUGCCAAGCAGCUAUACCUUUUUAGGACAAGUUCUUAAUCGAUUGGGGUGUUUAAACGCAGUUUUCAUUAAUUUCAGGUGUUUUCAAACAGUUUUUAUUAGUUUCAUAUGUUUUGCCACAGUUUUAAGUUACUUUUUGGUUAUGGCAUUUAAAGCGCUUAUAAAGCAGUUAAUUAGAUCAUCCAAUGAUUCACUAUGAACACGACUAUCGCGGAAAAACGAGUGUGAAGUUCUUUGCUAAGAUUCGGAGAGGGGACGCUUUGACCACCGUGUUUCUGGUCGCGCGAUACUUCGGUUUGAACUGUGACUCACGAUGGAGUUGGCCCAAGCAGCUCCUUUACUAUACCUAUGCGGUGACACUCUUCCUUUUCAACUCUUAUCCGAUGUACUUCGAAAUCAAGGAUGCAUACUACCACUUCCUCGAUCGAGACUACCGCACCGUCUUUCAGAUCAUCGGCGUCGUCAUCAAUGCCAUCGGCUACGUUUUCAUCAUUUUCAACUACUACAAGCACAAGAGGGAAUUUUUCGAGGUUCUCGCACUUCUUAGAUUGAGCAUGGAGCAGUCCCUACUCUACGCUCCGGAGAUAGUGCGGAGCGUUCAACCCCUGCGGGACAAAUUCGCGAAGCGUUUCCUUAUCCUGAGCAUCAUCGCGUAUGAGAUCAUGUACGUGAUAUGGUGCAGCCCCCCCGUGGUGACGUUCUUCGCGCGGCUGCCCGAUGUCAACUACUCGACGCUUCCGCUGGCCUACGGUAGGCAGAACUACGGCCUCAACGAGAACGAACCGGUUGAAUUUUGGCUCAUAAUUGUCAUCCAGUUCCUACACGGCACGGCCUGCCUCAGCGGCAUCUGUUUUGGCAACACUCUCACUCCAAUCCUGUGCAUAUUGCUAGGAUGUCAGCUGGAUAUACUGGAAAGAGCACUCAAUCAAGUGGGCUAUAACGUUGAAGCGAAAAGUAAGCGGGCUUUGUUCUUGGCGAAACUGCAUUCGAAAUACGUGUCAUUCAACGGUGGCAAUUGAAGGAGUUCAAAACAGACAUGGCCGAUACCUUGAUCAUUCAAAGCGAUCGCGACUACUUGACGCAGUGCAUCGAACAUCAUCAAACCUGCAUGAGGUGAGGUUACAGUACCUAUAUGAAGAGAGUAUGGCCACUGGGCCCCAUGGAGAGGCUUAGGACCCAAAAAUGGCGGUGCUUUGUUUUGGUUUUUGAGGAUGGGAGAGGGGGUCAUUGCCAACUUUUGACGGUUAUCACCAACCGCACUUGCUGCCAACCUUACUACAUCUAAG